CUCUUAUGAAGUUAGCGGCGGACGGGCUGAGUAACACGUGGGUAACCUGCCCAUAAGACUGGGAUAACUCCGGGAAACCGGGGCUAAUACCGGAUAACAUUUUGAACCGCAUGGUUCGAAAUUGAAAGGCGGCUUCGGCUGUCACUUAUGGAUGGACCCGCGUCGCAUUAGCUAGUUGGUGAGGUAACGGCUCACCAAGGCAACGAUGCGUAGCCGACCUGAGAGGGUGAUCGGCCACACUGGGACUGAGACACGGCCCAGACUCCUACGGGAGGCAGCAGUAGGGAAUCUUCCGCAAUGGACGAAAGUCUGACGGAGCAACGCCGCGUGAGUGAUGAAGGCUUUCGGGUCGUAAAACUCUGUUGUUAGGGAAGAACAAGUGCUAGUUGAAUAAGCUGGCACCUUGACGGUACCUAACCAGAAAGCCACGGCUAACUACGUGCCAGCAGCCGCGGUAAUACGUAGGUGGCAAGCGUUAUCCGGAAUUAUUGGGCGUAAAGCGCGCGCAGGUGGUUUCUUAAGUCUGAUGUGAAAGCCCACGGCUCAACCGUGGAGGGUCAUUGGAAACUGGGAGACUUGAGUGCAGAAGAGGAAAGUGGAAUUCCAUGUGUAGCGGUGAAAUGCGUAGAGAUAUGGAGGAACACCAGUGGCGAAAGGCGACUUUCUGGUCUGUAACUG
rnacentral:rRNA from 1 species